rnacentral:rRNA from 1 species
AGUGAACGCUGGCGGCGUGCUUAACACAUGCAAGUCGAACGAGAACGGAUUAUAGCUUGCUAUAAUUGUCAGCUAAGUGGCGCACGGGUGAGUAAUGUAUAGGUAAUAUGCCUCUUACUAAGGGAUAACAAAUGGAAACGUUUGCUAAUACCUUAUACUCCUUAUUAACAGAAGUUAAUAAGGGAAAGAUUUAUUGGUAAGAGAUUAGCCUGUAUUGUAUCAGUUAGUUGGUGGGGUAAUGGCUCACCAAGACUAUGACACAUAACUGGUUUGAGAGGAUGAUCAGUCACACUGGAACUGAGACACGGUCCAGACUCCUACGGGAGGCAGCAGUGGGGAAUAUUGCACAAUGGACGAAAGUCUGAUGCAGCAACGCCGCGUGGAGGAUGACACAUUUCGGUGCGUAAACUCCUUUUAUAUGAGAAGAUAAUGACGGUAUUAUAUGAAUAAGCACCGGCUAACUCCGUGCCAGCAGCCGCUGUAACAC